AGUGAACGCUGGCGGUAGGCCUAACACAUGCAAGUCGAACGGCAGCACAGUAAGAGCUUGCUCUUACGGGUGGCGAGUGGCGGACGGGUGAGGAAUACAUCGGAAUCUACUUUUUCGUGGGGGAUAACGUAGGGAAACUUACGCUAAUACCGCAUACGACCUACGGGUGAAAGCAGGGGAUCUUCGGACCUUGCGCGAUUGAAUGAGCCGAUGUCGGAUUAGCUAGUUGGCGGGGUAAGGGCCCACCAAGGCGACGAUCCGUAGCUGGUCUGAGAGGAUGAUCAGCCACACUGGAACUGAGACACGGUCCAGACUCCUACGGGAGGCAGCAGUGGGGAAUAUUGGACAAUGGGCGCAAGCCUGAUCCAGCCAUAUCGCGUGGGUGAAGAAGGCCUUCGGGUUGUAAAGCCCUUUUGUUGGGAAAGAAAAGCAGCAGGUUAAUACCCCGCUGUUCUGACGGUACCCAAAGAAUAAGCACCGGCUAACUUCGUG
rnacentral:rRNA from 1 species